AAAUUGAAGAGUUUGAUCAUGGCUCAGAUUGAACGCUGGCGGCAGGCCUAACACAUGCAAGUCGAGCGGUAGCACANGAGAGCUUGCUCUCUGGGUGACGAGCGGCGGACGGGUGAGUAAUGUCUGGGAAACUGCCUGAUGGAGGGGGAUAACUACUGGAAACGGUAGCUAAUACCGCAUAACGUCUACGGACCAAAGUGGGGGACCUUCGGGCCUCACGCCAUCAGAUGUGCCCAGAUGGGAUUAGCUAGUAGGUGGGGUAAUGGCUCACCUAGGCGACGAUCCCUAGCUGGUCUGAGAGGAUGACCAGCCACACUGGAACUGAGACACGGUCCAGACUCCUACGGGAGGCAGCAGUGGGGAAUAUUGCACAAUGGGCGCAAGCCUGAUGCAGCCAUGCCGCGUGUGUGAAGAAGGCCUUAGGGUUGUAAAGCACUUUCAGCGAGGAGGAAGGGUAGUGUGUUAAUAGCACAUUACAUUGACGUUACUCGCAGAAGAAGCACCGGCUAACUCCGUGCCAGCAGCCGCGGUAAUACGGAGGGUGCAAGCGUUAAUCGGAAUUACUGGGCGUAAAGCGCACGCAGGCGGUUUGUUAAGUCAGAUGUGAAAUCCCCGCGCUUAACGUGGGAACUGCAUUUGAAACUGGCAAGCUAGAGUCUUGUAGAGGGGGGUAGAAUUCCAGGUGUAGCGGUGAAAUGCGUAGAGAUCUGGAGGAAUACCGGUGGCGAAGGCGGCCCCCUGGACAAAGACUGACGCUCAGGUGCGAAAGCGUGGGGAGCAAACAGGAUUAGAUACCCUGGUAGUCCACGCUGUAAACGAUGUCGAUUUGGAGGUUGUGCCCUUGAGGCGUGGCUUCCGGAGCUAACGCGUUAAAUCGACCGCCUGGGGAGUACGGCCGCAAGGUUAAAACUCAAAUGAAUUGACGGGGGCCCGCACAAGCGGUGGAGCAUGUGGUUUAAUUCGAUGCAACGCGAAGAACCUUACCUACUCUUGACAUCCAGAGAACUUUCCAGAGAUGGAUUGGUGCCUUCGGGAACUCUGAGACAGGUGCUGCAUGGCUGUCGUCAGCUCGUGUUGUGAAAUGUUGGGUUAAGUCCCGCAACGAGCGCAACCCUUAUCCUUUGUUGCCAGCGAUUCGGUCGGGAACUCAAAGGAGACUGCCGGUGAUAAACCGGAGGAAGGUGGGGAUGACGUCAAGUCAUCAUGGCCCUUACGAGUAGGGCUACACACGUGCUACAAUGGCGUAUACAAAGAGAAGCGAACUCGCGAGAGCAAGCGGACCUCAUAAAGUACGUCGUAGUCCGGAUUGGAGUCUGCAACUCGACUCCAUGAAGUCGGAAUCGCUAGUAAUCGUAGAUCAGAAUGCUACGGUGAAUACGUUCCCGGGCCUUGUACACACCGCCCGUCACACCAUGGGAGUGGGUUGCAAAAGAAGUAGGUAGCUUAACCUUCGGGAGGGCGCUUACCACUUUGUGAUUCAUGACUGGGGUGAAGUCGUAACAAGGUAACCGUAGGGGAACCUGCGGUUGGAUCACCUCCUUA
rnacentral:rRNA from 1 species